CCAUGACCAUCAUGGUGGUCAGCAUGUCAGCAGGCAGGCAGACCUGACAUUGGAGCAGUAGCUGAGAGCCUACGUCUUGAGAUAUCUACUAUGAGGCAGAAAGAGAACACUAGCUUCCUGACUGCAGAUGUGUGAGCUGCUGCCUUAUGUUUCUACUGCUUUGCCUUCCUUGCGGUGGUGGACUCUAUCCUUUCUUGAAUGAUAAUUCCAGUCUUCGCCCUCAUCAUGGGAAGCUUCUCUUUCCAACAGAUGCAAUGGACAGAGGCCAUUAUAGAAAACCACAACCAAUCAACAUGCAGAGUGGUGGGGCCCAGUACCAAUAGCUAUUGUCUACAAUGCAACCCUUGCAUCGAAGACUCAAAAAGCAUUUCAGAAGAGGGAACAGAAAAACUGUAAGAGCCGGAAGAUCAAGGAGUUUGCUGUGAUACCGUAUCUCCUAGGAAUGUCAGAAACUACACGCAUAAAGUCUCUGCACCAUGACUGCCUAAACAUGAGCUGAACGAGAACAAUACAAUAGACAUGCUAAAGUGGGUGGGAAGAAUCUUUGAGUCUUCAAUCCUAGACAAAGAACUAUAGUCAAGAAUACUGACAGUAGGAGAGAGAGUCUUCUCCAGGAUGAUCCACCACUUGGUUUCCAGUACCAAGGGGCCAGUUCUGAUAGCACAUGUACAAGGAACAUUUUACCAAUUGAUCAGACAGUAUUUACACAUUUAUGAGUAUAUAUGUGUGUAUACACACACACACAUACAUAUACAUAGUUAUAUGUAACAACAUUUAAUGAAAAAAGAAGUCAUGAUUUUGAGAAAGCACAAGAGGAAGGUAUAUGGGAGGGUUUAGAGGAAGGAAAGGGAAGAGGAACAUUAUGUGAUUAUAAUCCCCAAAACCAAAAGAAAUAAUCUUAAAAGAGGAUAUUAGGUUGUCUCAUUAGGUUAUCUCUAGAGGGUAUUAAAAUAAGAGGGUGGCAUAUUAAAUCCAAGGAAAUUUUCUUCCUUUCAAAACCUUACAUUGGAUUGUUUUCUUUUAUUUGAGCAUUUUUGAGCAACUGAUUUCCAUAAUUUCAACAUAACUCUUGUGUCACGUGUAGAGGGUUCUGCCACGUUUUCCAGUAGAAAGAAACUCGAUGAAAAUAGCGUAAGGAGCCCCGGUGAGUCUGUUUUGAUGAAUUAUGUCCUUAAAGAUAUACCCUGUAUGUGGUUUGAAAUGUAUUGAUCAGUAGCAACUGUUUCUGUAACGCACAUUCUCUUGAACUUCCUCUGAAGUGACAGGGUUUAAUCAAGAGCCCUGAACAAGAAUCGACUACCAAGAAAGAGACAGUAUAAUGGAGUUGGCCAGAACUUCCAGAAUAAGUGAUCAUUUUAAGCUCAAUAGAAACACUGAAGUCUGUGUUUACUCCACCUUCUUUGAUUUGUAUCUUUCAUAAUAAUAUGCUUAACAAAGGGAUUAUUAUGUGACUGGCUUGAUGCUCCUAUCAAGCCCUUUGGCAUUUACCUUUCUGUGUGCUAUUGAAUAUUAGGAGAUGGAAUAUGAGCAUAAAGCAUUUUGAAAUACCACUUGCACUAUUUUAGAAUCUGAGCUUCUUUUCCUUUGUAAAAUAUGUACUCCAAAUAAACUCUCUAUAUGAAGUUAAAAUCACUCUCUCUGGCCUUGGUUUGUCCCAUCUUCACUCAGGCUGUUAAGAAACUCCAAUACCUUUAGGAUUCCUGUAUGGAUGCCAUUUAUUAGAUAUGAAUUAGUUACUCUACUAAAUAUACAAACAAAAAAUGAAAUGUCCUCCACAAAGAAAUGAGCUAUGUAUAAUCGCAUGCUUCUCAAAUGCCUGCCACUCUAUGGAUAAUUCUUAGGGAAAUUCCUAACUGAUUCCAAGAAUAUA